AUGAACGCUGGCGGCGUGCCUCAUACAUGCAAGUCGAGCGAACAGACGAGGAGCUUGCUCCUCUGACGUUAGCGGCGGACGGGUGAGCAACACGUGGAUAACCUACCUAUAAGACUGGGAUAACUUCGGGAAACCGGAGCUAAUACCGGAUAAUAUAUUGAACCGCAUGGUUCAAUAGUGAAAGACGGUUUUGCUGUCACUUAUAGAUGGAUCCGCGCCGCAUUAGCUAGUUGGUAAGGUAACGGCUUACCAAGGCAACGAUGCGUAGCCGACCUGAGAGGGUGAUCGGCCACACUGGAACUGAGACACGGUCCAGACUCCUACGGGAGGCAGCAGUAGGGAAUCUUCCGCAAUGGGCGAAAGCUUGACGGAGCAACGCCGCGUGAGUGAUGAAGGUCUUCGGAUCGUAAAACUCUGUUAUUAGGGAAGAACAAAUGUGUAAGUAACUAUGCACGUCUUGACGGUACCUAAUCAGAAAGCCACGGCUAACUACGUG
rnacentral:rRNA from 1 species